CUGGAGGUAUCAGAAGUGCGAAUGCUGACAUAAGUAACGAUAAAGCGGGUGAAAAGCCCGCUCGCCGGAAGACCAAGGGUUCCUGUCCAACGUUAAUCGGGGCAGGGUGAGUCGACCCCUAAGGCGAGGCCGAAAGGCGUAGUCGAUGGGAAACAGGUUAAUAUUCCUGUACUUGGUGUUACUGCGAAGGGGGGACGGAGAAGGCUAUGUUGGCCGGGCGACGGUUGUCCCGGUUUAAGCGUGUAGGCUGGUUUUCCAGGCAAAUCCGGAAAAUCAAGGCUGAGGCGUGAUGACGAGGCACUACGGUGCUGAAGCAACAAAUGCCCUGCUUCCAGGAAAAGCCUCUAAGCAUCAGGUAACAUCAAAUCGUACCCCAAACCGACACAGGUGGUCAGGUAGAGAAUACCAAGGCGCUUGAGAGAACUCGGGUGAAGGAACUAGGCAAAAUGGUGCCGUAACUUCGGGAGAAGGCACGCUGAUAUGUAGGUGAAGCGACUUGCUCGUGGAGCUGAAAUCAGUCGAAGAUACCAGCUGGCUGCAACUGUUUAUUAAAAA
rnacentral:rRNA from 1 species